rnacentral:rRNA from 1 species
ACGAACGCUGGCGGCAUGCCUAACACAUGCAAGUCGAACGAGACCUUCGGGUCUAGUGGCGCACGGGUGCGUAACGCGUGGGAACCUGCCCUUAGGUUCGGAAUAACUCCCCGAAAGGGGUGCUAAUACCGGAUAAUGUCUUCGGACCAAAGAUUUAUCGCCUUUGGAUGGGCCCGCGUUGGAUUAGCUAGUUGGUAGGGUAAAAGCCUACCAAGGCGACGAUCCAUAGCUGGUCUGAGAGGAGGAUCAGCCACACUGGGACUGAGACACGGCCCAGACUCCUACGGGAGGCAGCAGUGGGGAAUAUUGGACAAGGGGCGAAAGCCUGAUCCAGCAAUGCCGCGUGAGUGAUGAAGGCCUUAGGGUUGUAAAGCUCUUUUACCCGGGAUGAUAAUGACAGUACCGGGAGAAUAAGCUCCGGCUAACUCCGUG